AGGUUGCCUGAAGAACAGGAGCUAGUCAAGAACAGCUGGAGUCCACACAGGGAUAGCAUCCCAAGCAUCCCACUCCGAGGGAAAAGUGAUGUGACCUUGUAGUCAUCAGACAGGAGACCCAGAAUAGGAUACUGAUUCCUGUACCUGCAGAGAGUUGAAAAGGUUGCUUAACAGAGCCUAAACAAAGGAAAGCCCAAAGGAUGUGUUUCUCACAAAGGUGAAUAACACGUUACUUUUUAGUGAUGAUGGCUGUCACCCCAGGGGACUGACUGCCCGAAAACUUGUCAUGCUUCAGUCUGAAGAGCUCCUGACAAAACCAAAAGCAAACACUGAUGUCAAGUCAUGUCUUCUGAAGUAUCAGCUCAGUAAAGCCCCAACAAAAUAUUUGCAGAAAUUCGUCUCAACAGUCUGAAAAUCUGCCCUUCCAGAAGGCUGGCAGAGGAACAGCAUUCAGGUUGAACAAAUCCUAACCCCCUUUCCUGAGCCAGGAGAGGACAAGGGACUUCCUGGUUCGGUUCCACCUACACAGUACAUGGAGGCUUAAACACAAAAACCCUCAGAGGAAUAACUUGUAUCAUUUUACCUCUUGCUGUUGUUUAAUAAAAGCCUCUUUGUCCUCCA